CUUCUGACAAAAAUUUUACUACUCGAAAUGCAACUCGUCUUUUUGGUGGUUCUUUUGGUGCUUAUGUCUUAAUUUAAGUGCGAAAAAAAAUCACACUUUGAACAACACUGCAGUGGCGAUGCACAUAAAAGUAACGAGAAUAAAUCCAGUAAACAGACUUUAUUAAACAUUAGUUCCGACAAUGAUUUUAUGAAAUUUUGCACCGAUUUAUGUAGGGCAUUUACCGCAGCAAAUAUUCCAUGGAAUAAAGUUAGUUGUCCUGAGUUUAAAAAUUGUAUGCAUAAAUAUACAGGAAGGCAUUUACCCUCAGAAAGCACUCUGAGAAAAAAAUAUUUACCAAGAGAUUACGAUAUGGUAAUUAAACAAAUUAGAAAUUCUAUUGGCAAUAAUAAUAGGUAUAUAGAUUAGCGUCGAUGAGACGACGGACAGAUUAGGAAGAUACAUAGCCCAUUUAGUAAUUGGAAAGUUAUCUUCUGUAGAAACUGGCCGUCCAUUUCUACUAGCUUUGAAGCAACUUGAUAAUACGAAUAGCAACACAAUUUCGAGAUUUACAAACGAAUCAUUGGGUGUGCUAUUGAUAAUUUUAAGCAG